CCCCAAGAACAGGCACUCAUGGGAUCUGUGUCCCUGCCCUCGCCUGAGAAGCCCAAAUUGGACGUCAUGAGUCAUGUGCAGCAGGACCUGGGCCGAGGAGAGAGCUGUAGGAAGGCCGGGUCCUGAACUCAAAGGCGGACUGGGGUGGACCCUGCCAGCAACAGCCCCUUGGCCCCAUGCUCCGCAUCAGCUCCUCAGGGCGCUAGAGUGGGACGUACGGGAUGUGGCCCUCCUUCACGGGCCAGGAAAACUAAGGCCUCUCGAGGGACCUAUCAUGUUGCCCCAAAGCACCGAGUGCCCAGAAAAACUCAUGGCAAAAAACACGAGCGAGCUCCACGUGACAUGGAAGUGAGCACGGACCUUCCAAACCCCCACGUGGAAGCGGCAACACUGGGGAGGGGCCUCAUUUCCAUUCUACAGAACGUGGACGCGUCAGAGAAGUAGAGAAACACAGGAAGCCUGGAGCGGCGACCUAAAGGCUUCACCCGACAGCGUGGGGUCCGUCCCCUCCACAAGCGAACACGCCGAGCUGCUCCCGCAGGCCCUCAAAGGUGCGGAGCGUCCGCCAGCCGAGAGCCAAGGCCCCCAGCCUGGAGGGUUGAACUCGAGUCCUGCAGGCGCCUGGGAAGGGGGCGGUCACCAGGCGGGUGCUGAGCCCGCCUCCCCAUGCCACCCCUUCACUGGGUGUUUCCCAGGUAUCCUUUCACACAGCUCCUAGCUAUGAGGCCGCCCCAUUUUACCAAGAGCAAAACUCAGUCUGUGGGACCCUUUCCAGGAUGGAGUCUGCCCCAGGCACAGGCAGCAGCUGAUGUGCGGACCACACCCGUGGCCUCAAGCUACCUGCUCCGCUCCAGUGCAGUCGGCGUGGUGUGCAGUCGGGCGUGCAGGCACCACACACCUGAACUCGGUGAACACCCUCCGGGUCCUGUCCCUCCUGAGACGUGACAGAAAUGGCCCCGCACAUGAGAGGCCUGAUGCUUGGAGGCCCUGCGGCCCCUGGGCAACUCAAUGCACUGCGGGCACAGGCUGGAUCCACAGCCCCGCCCCAGCUUCCUGCCAUCGUGGGAGCCACAAGCUCCACCCUUCCCUGUCAGGUGAGAGCAAGUUCCAAACUAUUGCUCCCCUCCUCUGUGACCAACUGACAAAGGGCAUUUCAUUUAUGUUGAUGGGAACAGCAAAAUAAACCUGGCACUAGAGAAUUGUUUUUCCAUUAGUGGUUCUGCAUAACGAAACCCGCUAAGUGAACAAAGUACCAAAUGUGGGACUGAACUGAUGGGGGCAGUUUUGUCAACUUAAAAAUUCUCUUGGGGAAGAAGCUACAACAUUUGGGACUGAGGCCAUUUGGAGACCAUCAGAGCAAUACUUACAUCUGUGAGGCGGCUGCCCCUGCGGAGAGAAAAGAUACUUUAAUUUUGUUAAAGCUGAAUAAAAAACACUGAAGACAAAAA